CCUGUUUAUCAAAAACAUAGUUUUAAGAAGUUCUUUAAAAUUUAGCCUGCCCGGUGAAUUUUGUUUUAACGGCUGCGGUAAAUCGUGAUAAGGUAGCGUAAUCAAUUGUCUUUUUAUUGGGGACUAGUAUGAAUGGUCUGACGAAGCUUUUUUGUCUUUAACUAUCUUUAGUGAAUUUUAUUUUUUGGUGAAAAAUCCAUAAUGGUGUUAAGGGACGAGAAGACCCCUUAGAGUUUUAUGAGACUAUGCAAGUGGGGUUUGUGUUUUCAUUUGGUUGGGGCAACUAAGGAUUAGUUAGUUAAAAGUCCUUCUAGAGAUGUUUAAGAUGUUAAAUCAUAUCGAUCUUAAAAAAUAUUAAAUAAAACUACCUAGGGGAUAACAGCGUUAUUUUUUCAGAGAGAUCUAAUCGAAGAAAAAGUUUGCGACCUCGAUGUUGGACUAAGGAAAAGUUAAGAUGUAGAAGUUUUAAUUGUUUAGCCUGUUCGGCUUUUAGUUCCUUACAUGAUCUGAGUUCAGACCGGAAU
rnacentral:rRNA from 1 species